rfam:Leptotrichia sp. oral taxon 847, complete genome.
GCCCGAGUGGUGAAAUUGGUAGACGCAACGGACUCAAAAUCCGUCGAUUUUAUAUCGUGCCGGUUCGACUCCGGCCUCGGGCA